rnacentral:rRNA from 1 species
CCCCAAUUUCUCAAGGUUGACCUCGGAUCAGGUAGGAAUACCCGCUGAACUUAAGCAUAUCAAUAAGCGGAGGA